rnacentral:rRNA from 1 species
GACGAACGCUGGCGGCGUGCUUAACACAUGCAAGUCGAACGGUGACGAGGAGCUUGCUCCUCCGAUCAGUGGCGAACGGGUGAGUAACACGUGAGCAACCUGCCCCAGACUCUGGGAUAACAGUUGGAAACAGCUGCUAAUACCGGAUACGAGACGGAGAGGCAUCUCUACCGUCUGGAAAGUUUUUCGGUCUGGGAUGGACUCGCGGCCUAUCAGCUAGUUGGUGAGGUAAUGGCUCACCAAGGCGACGACGGGUAGCCGGCCUGAGAGGGCGAACGGCCACACUGGGACUGAGACACGGCCCAGACUCCUACGGGAGGCAGCAGUGGGGAAUAUUGCACAAUGGGCGAAAGCCUGAUGCAGCGACGCCGCGUGAAGGAUGAAGGUCUUCGGAUUGUAAACUUCUAUCAGCAGGGAAGAAAGGGCUUAUAGCCUAUGACGGUACCUGACUAAGAAGCCCCGGCUAACUACGUG